UGAAUACGAGAUGCUACGGCGUCGAAGCAGUCUAUGUCAUACUUCCAAGAAAAGCUUGCACUGUCAUAAACAAAUAAUGCCUGUACCAUAACCGACACAGGUGGGUAGGUAGAGUAUACUAAGGGGCGCGAGAUAACUCUCUCUAAGGAACUCGGCAAAAUGACUCCGUAACUUCGGGAGAAGGAGUGCCUUAUUUAUAAGGUUGCAAUAACAAGAUCCAAGCAACUGUUUACCAAAAACACAGGUCUCCGCUAAGUCGUAAGACGAUGUAUGGGGGCUGACGCCUGCCCAGUGCCAGAAGGUUAAAGAAGUUGGUUAGCAUCCGCGAAGCUGAUAACUGAAGCCCUGGUGAACGGCGGCCGUAACAAUAACGGUCCUAAGGUAGCGAAAUUCCUUGUCGGGUAAGUUCCGACCCGCACGAAAGGCGUAAUGAUUUGGAUACUGUCUCGGAGAGGGGCUCGGUGAAAUAGACUUGUCUGUGAAGAUGCGGACUACCUGCACCAGGACAGAAAGACCCUAUGAAGCUUUACUGUAACCUGAAAUUGAAAUUGGACUUUACUUGCGCAGUAUAGGUGGGAGGCGUUGAGAAUAUUCUUGCGGGAUUAUUGGAGCCAUCAGUGAGAUACCACUCUUGUAAUGUUAGAUUUCUAACUUUGUAUCAUUAUCUGGUCAAAGAACAGUUUCAGGCGGGCAGUUUGACUGGGGCGGUCGCCUCCUAAACGGUAACGGAGGCGCACAAAGGUUUCCUCUGAACGGGUAGAAAUCGUAUCUAGAGUGUAAAGGCAUAAGGAAGCUUGACUGUGAGACCUACAAGUCGAGCAGGGACGAAAGUCGGUCUUAGUGAUCUGACGGUGCUGAGUGGAAAGGCCGUCACUCAACGGAUAAAAGUUACUCUAGGAUAACAGGCUGAUCUCCCCCAAGAGUUCACAUCGACGGGGAGGUUUGGCACCUCGAUGUCGGCUCAUCGCAUCCUGGGGCGGUAGUACGUCCCAAGGGUUGGGCUGUUCGCCCAUGAAAGCGGUACGCGAGCUGGGUUCAGAACGUCGUGAGACAGUUCGGUCCAUAUCCGGUGUAGGCGUUAGAAUAUUGAGAGGAGCCUUCUUUAGUACGAGAGGACCGAGAAGGACAUACCUCUGGUGUACCAGCUAUCGUGCCAACGGUAAACGCUGGGUAGCUAUGUGUGGAGUGGAUAACCGCUGAAAGCAUCUAAGUGGGAAGCCCACCUCAAGAUAAGUAUUCU
rnacentral:rRNA from 1 species